AUUUUCCUCCAAAACUGGGGUUAUCUGCACCCCCAGAACAGAACUGGGGGUUCUGUAAUCCACAGUGUAAGCACCAUUAUGGUAAGAAGCCC